UACGGGAGGCAGCAGUAGGGAAUCUUCGGCAAUGGACGAAAGUCUGACCGAGCAACGCCGCGUGAGUGAAGAAGGUUUUCGGAUCGUAAAACUCUGUUGUUAGAGAAGAACAAGGACGUUAGUAACUGAACGUCCCCUGACGGUAUCUAACCAGAAAGCCACGGCUAACUACGUGCCAGCAGCCGCGGUAAUACGUAGGUGGCAAGCGUUGUCCGGAUUUAUUGGGCGUAAAGCGAGCGCAGGCGGUUUCUUAAGUCUGAUGUGAAAGCCCCCGGCUCAACCGGGGAGGGUCAUUGGAAACUGGGAGACUUGAGUGCAGAAGAGGAGAGUGGAAUUCCAUGUGUAGCGGUGAAAUGCGUAGAUAUAUGGAGGAACACCAGUGGCGAAGGCGGCUCUCUGGUCUGUAACUGACGCUGAGGCUCGAAAGCGUGGGGAGCAAACAGGAUUAGAUACCCUGGUAGUCCACGCCGUAAACGAUGAGUGCUAAGUGUUGGAGGGUUUCCGCCCUUCAGUGCUGCAGCAAACGCAUUAAGCACUCCGCCUGGGG
rnacentral:rRNA from 1 species